rnacentral:rRNA from 1 species
AUUGAACGCUGGCGGCAGGCCUAACACAUGCAAGUCGAACGAGUGGCGGACGGGUGUGUAAUGUCUGGGACACUGCCUGAUGGAGGGGGAUAACUACUGGAAACGGUAGCUAUUACCGCAUACCAUCAGAUGUGCCCAGAUGGGAUUAGCUUGUUGGUGGGGUAACGGCUCACCAAGGCGACGAUCCCUAGCUGGUCUGUGAGGAUGACCAGCCACACUGGACAUGAGACCGGGUCAGGACGCGUAGGGGAGUCAGCAGUGGGGAAUAUUGCACAAUGGGGGCAAGCCUGAUGCAGCCAUGCGGGGUGUAUGAAGAGGUCCUUCGGGUUGUAAAGUACUUUCAGCGGGGAGGCGUUACCCGCAGAAGAAGCAACGGCUAACUCCGUGCCAGCAGCCGCGGUAAUAC